rnacentral:lncRNA from 1 species
ACAGGCAUGAUUUUUAUUAAUGUACAAUGUUACAGUUGGCUCCCUUUGAUACACACUUCCUGUUCCGCUUGUAAUGACCAAAAACAGUGUAGUUUGCAUUCCAAUGACAAUCUCAAUUCUUUAAUCUCAAGUUUCAAACGUCCCUGAAAUCAUAUUAUUUUUGAUUAAGCAAUGAAUGCGAUCGAAAGAUAUGGGAAUCCAGAUCUGAUUUUUAAACUCACAGCGGCAGAGGUUUUUGCUGAAAAUGCCGAAUCGA